rnacentral:tRNA from 1 species
GGCCCCGUAGUUCAAUGGAUAGAAUAGGACUUUCCUAAAGUUUAGAUGCAGGUUCGAUUCCUGCCGGGGCUACUA